rnacentral:rRNA from 2 species
GAACCUGCAGAAGGAUCAUUA